UGUCUCUCUCCUCUGACCUUUAUUUAAAGAAGGGACAACAAGCGCCUUGACUUCUUUCCCUUUCCUCCUUAGGGAAGACAUUCUUCUAAGUAUCAAGAAAGGGAGCCCUUGCUUCCCUGGAAGACAUUUCAUCCCAGCAAUCCCUCUCCAGUUCCAUGUGACCAUUCCUACUCUGAGCCAGUUUUGGAAAGGAAGGUAAGUGGCUGGAUUAGGUUAGGUGAUAUCCAAGUAGAGGUAGCCGGAUUCUGUCUAGGACUGGGUCAAUGAUGACAACCCAAUGUCAUGAAGAACGGUGAUGACAUAAAAUACAUGCUCAAUAGGAUUACGCUGAGGCCAAACCAGGGCGACAGAGUCACAAGAGGUCCGUUGACUCCUUGGGGGGCUCUUGGGUGACUUCCCUGAAGUCCUCAGAUGCUCUUGCCCUGUUUCCCAUGAGAGGAAAUAUGGAUAUCUAGGGUGCACAUUAUGGCAAACACUGCAUGCCAACAAGCAACUAGUCCCACAAUGGAACCUUGGGCAUUUCUGCAAGGAUCGCACCUUGCUCAUGACAAUGUCUUUUCUGGUGUUUUGCAAUCAUCUCACAUGCCACCUUGGAAGGCAGAGAAACACAGAUAAUCAGGGAAGACAUUCUUCCAAGUAUCAAGAAAGGGAGCCCUUGCUUCCAUGGAAGAUAUUUCCUCCCAACAAUCCCUCUCCAGUUCAAUGUGACCAUUCCUACUCUGAGCCAGUUUUGGAAAGGAAGGUA
rnacentral:lncRNA from 1 species